GCUCGCUUCUCUCUCUCCAGGGCCUCCUGGAGGGCGGAUACUUCAGCCGUCUUUGCUUGGAGGCGAGCAACCUCGGCCUGACAGCGUUCCUCCACUUGGAGGAUGUCCCUCCUCGUGCGGCUCAUCGCCUCGAUAUAGGCGAGGAGCUGGUGCCCAAUCUGCAAAGGCGGCUAGGGAAUUAGAACAAAGGCCAAAUAGCCGUGAGAAUGAAGAUCCACUUACCUCAAGGAAGGACCCCAAAGAGUCUCAGGCCC
rnacentral:lncRNA from 1 species